rnacentral:lncRNA from 1 species
CAUUUAGACACAUGCUGGAUACUCUGUAAAUCAGUCCUGGGCUUGAUUUCACAGAACUUCCAUGUGGCAUUUAGAUAUGGGACUCUAGAAACACCUGUAACUCAUACGCCUCCUCCUCCUAACUCUUAGUUUCUGUGGAAAAAAACCUGGGUAUCAGUCACAAAUUGGAACUGUCUUCAAGGGAAGCCGUGUAAGAAUAAUGAGGGGUCAGUAUCCCUGAACCUUAUAUUUUCCAGCAGAUAAAUACAGACAUAGCCUAAAGGUAGUGGUCAAUGAAAAAUUAUGAAGUACAUGAAAGAAAAACAUGAAAUUCAAAAUAAACUUAUCUGGGCUAGUUCCAGUUAGGGAAACAAUGUUAGGCAAUUCUUUAAGAUACAUAUAUAUUUAAAUUGCUUCUUCCAUUCUCUUUUUAAUGUUUUUUUCAGAAAGUGAAAAGCAGCAAGUGAAACAAUGCAUUGUACAAAAGAAGCUACUGAGACAAACAUUUAAGAUCUUAUCAAACACAGAUCUAAGGCUUAUUCUCGGUGAUGCAUUGAGACUACAAGCAGUGACAGAGACUGAACUAGGCUGACCACUGUUCUGGAGCCUACAGUGAGGAUCCACAGCAAAGAUGUGGAGCUUGCAAAUCACAUGGACACAGAGAGACUUCUGUGAGAAAUUGAACAGAUCAGUCAAAUUCCAGAGAUUAUGGAAAGAGUCUUAAUACAGAGAGGGGAAAAAAAAAAAAAAGCGAACAAACAAGAAAAACAAACAAACAAACAAACAACAACAACAGCAACAAAACAAUUCAGUGCCUGAAAUCAGUCAAAAGGGGCAGAUUGUGUAUAGUGCUUGUAAAAAUGCUUGUAAAAGUCUUAUAUGGCCACUGCAAUAUUUCUUCAUUAAAAAAAGAAAUACUAUUGUUCAUAUUCUAAUAAGGAAUGGUGAUUUUUGAUUUAAAAUCUCUGUUAGUCAUUUAUGGGGAGCCAA